GAUCCACGCAACCUGCCGAUGGCAGCUGUGCUCGCUCCUCCAUCCCGCCGGGCGCUGCUGCUGGGCAAGGCAGGGGCACGGCCGCACAGGUGAAGCUGCUGCGAGCUGCUGGCAUCACCUGUGCGCGAGCGGCUGCCGCAUGAAAUUCUAUUGGAGAACCUGGAAGAGAUGGAAGUUCCAAGAAGCAAGUUGAAUCUGCCAUCCACAGUCCCUGUCUUGGAAAGUGACUCGGGGAAAAACAAAUGGCAUCACCAGGGACAUAACCUCACCAUUAACUUUGCCACCUGGAUUUGUGGUGGACCCUGGGCUGAAGAGGCUUUCAGAUCACUUCAGACCUGACAAUGAGGUUUUUAACAAUUUACCUGAACAAAAGUUUAAGACUGUUACUCUUAGAAUGUCUGUUUUGGAGGAUAAAGUCUCAGCAUUAGAGGCUUGAUUUAGUAUUUACUGAAGUUACAAAAGAAAAUAAAGAAGUAAAGAACAGGAUGGACCUUUUGGAGUACAAGCAAUGCACAAGAAAGCUUAGUAGGGUUGGUGUUCCUGAGUUCUUUUGUCUUGAAAGAUCCUAUAGCAUCCUUUUCCAAAGUGGUGCCAGCGGUACUGGGAUUGACUCCCUCUGAGAUCUUUCUUCUAGAAUCAGUGAGAUUUUUGCUUCUCUUGUACCACUGACAACCUGCUGUGAGGAUAAUUCUCAUUACCCGUUCUGCGCUUAACACAAGAAGUAGGAUUUUGAAAGCCUCCAGAAUCUUGAGUGAAGUAAGGUGUUAAGGAAAGAAAGCAAGGUUAUAUCCAUAGCAUGCCACUAAUCCAGUAAAGAAAACAAACGCCUUUGUGGCUGUGAAGAAAAAAACUGCACAGCAUUUUGCCUUAUUGUCACCUGCAAAACUGAGGGGUCCCCAUGGUUGCAACAAAUGUUUAUUUGGACCUGUGGCUGAUAUUAAUCAUUUCAUAGAUCAGUGUAUGGCUGAAUUAACAGAGUAGGUGAAAGAGGCAGAUUCAGAUGCUGUCCAUUGAAGAUUUAGGGCCAUAUUGUACUCUGACUUAACCCAGUGAAAUACCAUUGACUUCAGUGGAGUUUCACAGUGCAUGAGUCAGAACAGAAUUUGUCCCUUUAGAAUAAUUACGUAUGUGUGCAACAACUACUGAAGUCAGUGGAAUGUAUAUGUGUAUCUGAGGGAUGAAUUUGUCCCUUAGACCUUUUGCUCUGAAAAAUAUGUGACUUGCUUUAAAAGCUUUCCCCUUCAGAUUGUUUGGAAGUUUCUAUAUUCGUUGAAGCAUGCAGUAUGAUUCACACACUCAUACUGCCCUAAUUUGCUUUCUAGACAUCUUUUAGUAUACAAAUAAUUAAUCAUGCCCGGUACACAUUCAGCACCUUUCAUAUAAGGUUCUCAAAAUACUUUACAAACAGUUAAUUAAGCCUCACAAAAUCUCUGUGGGAUACGUGUUAUCUUCAUUUUACAGAUGGAGAAGAGAGAAUUGAAAAGGACAUUUUGGCCCCACUGAAUUCAAUGGGAAUUUUGUCAUUGACUUCAGCGAGGCCAGGAUUUCACCCUUUUGUGCAUAGAUCAGAUUGUCAUGGUUUCUUCUGUCUAGUCAGUUACUUAAUCAGUUUCCACUGUUUGGCUCUCUCUUGUCACUGCUUGAGAGAACCACACAAACAUUUUUUUUUUAAGAAAAAACAGAAAAAUGUGAAGAAACCACAAUAAUUGGAAGGGGGACUCUGGGGAAAGUGUAUAACCUGAAAAUAUUUUUAAUUCAUUUUUUUUAGCUUAGUAAAUUUCAAGUGGAUGCUGUGUGUGUCUGUCUGUCUGUCUCUCUCUCUCUCUCACACACACACACACAGCCCGCCUCCCCACCACACACACACACAUGCACACACACCUCUUGAACCAGUGAAAAAGAAGGGACUUUGUCUCAAAUUUUCAAAAGUUCAUGGCUGUCUGUGUGCAGAUUAGGUCUAUGCAAAAGUGCAUGGACACACUUUGGAAAAUCUGAGACCAUGUACCCAAAAUUGUAUGUAUAAUAAUGUGUUUCAUUCACCUGCAAUAAUGUAAGACUUGUUUUGUUGUUGAAAAAUUAUUAAUUAAAAAUGUUAAAAGGUCAAAGACUAGGCUAGUGUGAUAGUAGAAUACAGGGAGCAUGUUGGAGAAUAGAGAGAAAUGUGGUGGAGAAAUUAGGAAGCAUCCAUAAAGUUCUUUAUAGAUAGCUCAGGAGAGAGAUGUGAUAUUUCAUGCUGAAAUGGACAGAGAGCCACUGAAGAUUUAUGUGAAGAGAGUGGUAUGUUCCAGUUAAUAUGAAUGAGUGAGCAGAGAAGUUGUAACAAUUACAUUAGUCAAGAUGCUGAAAAUUCAGAAUAGCCUGCUGCAUCCAUGUAAGGCCACAAAUGCAGUGGAAAAUCAUGUUUCUGCUGUGCAAGAGGGCUAAGCAGCAGAGAACCAAAACAGUUGGACUGUACCCCUUUCUGUAUGUUCUAGAGCACAGAGGUUUUCAGUGGGUCCAUGCAUGGUACCAGAGAGUGGUAGAAUGUGGUCAAAUCGGGUUGUGGCCAGUGGGAAUUGUGCACGGUCUAGAUGUACUGGGCCAACCUGCCAUAUGAAGGAACAGUGGACUGUGCUUGCUGUCCCCCUCACUCCCUGCAGUGACUGUGGCUUGGUCAUGUCAUUUACUGCAUAUUUGAGAUAGGUAUUCCAAUCUCUGAGUCCCAGGACAUUUCUGCCAUGUUCAUAAGCUCACAUCCAGUUUACUUGGGCUGCACAUUCUUUCCCAGUAUAUUGCUCAGUGAAAGUAAAUGAAGGUCUACUCUAAAAGAAUCUGGCAGAGGAAUCAUCAAGCUAUUGUUUGAUGCAGGUGACGUUUUGAAAGAAACAAUAGGCAGAUUUACAUACCUGGGUAAUGAAAUUGAACAGCACUUCUUUUAACUUUUAAAUUACAUUAAAAUUGAUCAGUGCUGAUGCUCUUUUUUAUGGGUGUUAUAACUGAAGUGCUGUUAUGCUUUGCUUACAAAGGAAUUCCUCUGGGUAGGAUAAAAUAACCUCAUAAAAUUCAAUUCCUUUAUCUGUUUUCAUGUACAUAAUAAAAAAACCCAGCUAUUUAUUUAAACUAACCACACAGCUCCAACAUUUCAUUUUUAUGAUGUAUAAAAUAAGCUUGUCUAAGGUUUGGGAUGUUUUGAACUAUACAUAUAUGCUGUAGAUAUAAAUAGAAUUUUGUUCUUAGAAUGCUGCAAUAUUUUUCUCUCUCUGAGUUUUCAUGGAGAAGGGUAUCUUGUUGUGGCACUUGUUAAUAUUACUUGUUUAACUGCUUAUUCAGCACCUUGAGGCAAGUAGAUCAAUCUAAUUUGUACAUUAUGAGUAAUGCUUUAAGUUCUACAAAUAUACAUGCAGUUACAAUAAAUUGUGUACUAAACA